rnacentral:snRNA from 1 species
GGAUUUGAGGGUGAUCUGGCUUCGACAUCUGUCACCCCAUUGAUCGCCAGGGUUGACUGGGCUGAUCUGGUUGGCUAGGUGGGUGUCUCCUUCCUCCCUCACCACUCCAUGUGAGUCCCUCCUGAAGCUGCUCACUCGGUCAAAAAAGACAGCCUUCCCUGAAUAGAGACAGACCGGUUUAUUCCUAG